rnacentral:misc_RNA from 1 species
AGCAAUUUAAUGGAGUAUAUUUCUCAAGAAAAUGUUGCGUUCUUUAAAUUCUAUUUCCUAACUUUUUACGCGUCCUCGACACAAACUUCCCUAUGGCGCACUGGAAAUCUUACUUACGUGACAAACUUAGCAAAAGAAAGUAUGAAUACUCGGACAUAGCAUUAAAAGACGCCACGAACGCGUUAGAAAAGUAUCCAACGCUGAAGCCAAACGUGAAACAUUUUGCCGGUACUCAUGGUCAGAACAGGGAGCUAGUUUGUCUUGAAGGAACAAUACCUGUUUACUAUCGAGGUUUCACCUAUAAUUUUCCAAUAUGUUUAUGGCUUCAAGAGAAACAUCCAAAUGCGCCUCCUUUUGCAUAUGUUGUGCCCACAGCGGAGAUGGAAAUAAAACCAGGACUCCAUGUUGACGCUCAAGGCAGAGUUUACCUACCAUUUUUAACAGAAUGGAAGCAUCCUCAAUCAGAUAUUUAUGGCUUGAUAGAAGUCUUGCGUCAGGUCUUUUCUGAAGAACCUCCCGUCUAUGGUCGCAAACCCACUCCUGCACUAACAAGUUCUCCAUCAAGUCAUCCUUUGACAAAGAAUUCCUCUCCUGAAUAUAUCCAAGCAAGAAAACUAAUUCGGAAAUUUGUCCUACUGGUCCUGUUCAGACGCCCAGCACUGCGAUACCCCAAGUAUCUAGAGGCGGACCUAGCAUUAAGGGAUGCAAAGAGUGCCUUAGAACAACAUAGAAACUUGAAGCCAUACAUAAAACAGUUUGCUUAUCCUGGUGGUCUGAUAAAGGAGCUAGUUUGCCUUGAAGGGACAAUAUCUAUAAACUAUAAAGGUUGCGACUAUAAUAUUCCAAUAUGUUUAUGGCUUCAAGAGAAACAUCCAAAUGCGCCUCCUUUUGCAUAUGUUGUGCCCACAGCGGAGAUGGAAAUAAAAUCAGGACGCCAUGUUGACGCUCAAGGCAGAGUUUACCUACUAUUUUUAACAGAAUGGCGGAAGCAUAGAGUUCGGGGAUUGCAGCACUCCAGGUGAAAUGUGGUUAUCGAGACAUGUGUGAACGUUUUCUUGAGUCGCAGAAUAUUCCAGAUGAAUACUUUGACAAAACUCCAGAUUUUAAUAAAUGUUUCUGUGAGAAUUGUCACAGAGAUCGUGGUGAUGAAGAAUGCUGUUUUCGUGGGAAGCCCGCCAAGAGAUACGCUUUACCUAUUGGCUGGAGUAGAUUUUCCAUUAAAGUUGCCCAAAACGCGAAAGUACUUAAUAUCUUUGGGAAUUGGUUUUAUGGAACACAAGCAGCAACCCUCAAGCCAAUAUUGGACAGCGGUCAAUUGCUAAUGCCAGGGGAUGUGGCCUUGGGAGGAAAUGAAUUGCGCGAGGGAGAAGGACAAUAUAACGACCAUUGGAAACCAAAGACGUUUGACACGAAGCAAAUUUUUGUUUCUCCAAGUAUCAAAUAUUCCGGGUGCCCUGUUUAUGCCAAGAUUCAAAGUUAAAACCAUAUCUUCCUUACGAAUAUACUCACGAAGGAAUGUUGGAAAGAAUAAGUGCACAAGUAGAACAUCUCGAAUUCUGUAGAGACAGCCAAUGGCCACCAUUACACAAUAUGAAAAAAAUCGAAGGAAAACUUGGCCAGUCCUGCAAAAAUGCAUGCUGGGAGAAAGGAAUGCUAUGUGAACCAUCAUACUGGGACAUUUUAAAUCAACUCAUUUCGUUUAGAAGAGCAAACAUAACGUGUGAACUUGUGGAACAUGGUAAUUUACUUGUUGCACCGUCGUACGAUAAGACAAAGACCUGUCACCUCCAACAACAGCCAUUGUUACACAGUUGUGUAUCCUCCUCUGCCUCACACGUGAGACUUUGUCCAUGUCGUGACUACAUCAAAGAUCAAGUUGCGUUAUGCAACAAAUGUUGGUGAAUGAAGAUUCUGUCAAUCUUAAAUUAGAACAACUAGUACAUUUGAAUGAUGAAUGAUCUGAGAACAUCAUUAUUUAUUAUCAACAAAUAGCAUGUUUACAUGUAAAGACACCGCCAAGCCAUACGUAAAUCCCUACAUAUGCAUAUACAGAUCUUCAGAUCUGUCAAUCCUUCAGAUCUCUACCGGAAAAAAGUUUGGAGCCGGUCAGGAAGAUAAUUUCUUCAAAAUAGCAAAUCAUUUUAUUCCCCAGUAAAAGUGAUCAUCAACAACAAUGUAUCGGCGACUGUCGUUGAUUAAUGGGAAACAGGCUUUAGAGACAAGGUCCUACGGGCAUCGCGACCACUAGCAAAGAAGACGUUCUCAGCAGCGGCGUGGCGGAAGGGGGUUGCAGCACCUCCAAUUUUUGCAAGGUGGAAGUUGGUCGGUAAUGGCACCAUGAAGGCCUCGGUAUCUCGUCUGUUUCUGAUUUACAUUUACAGUAAUGAAAAAGAUUCUAUGCACAAUUAAAAAACUGACCAAAUGGUUAUCUGCUUUCUCUGGAUGUGCUUCAAGUGCUACGAGUCGGCAAAACCUCUGUGUUACACCCCCAGAGUUACGAUAGUCACGCUCUGCCUCCAGGUUCUCAGCCUUGCCUUGUAUGAAAUUUGGAUGGAUGCUGAUUGCUUUUGCCACUCCAAGGUCAACUUCACUAUGCACACGCUUCGAUUCAGUUGAACCGAAGUCAUGGUAUACUUUGCCUUACUCAUACUUUUUAACAGGAUUUUUUCCAAAGUUUUAGAGGUGGAAGUAUUGUAUCAAUGGUAUAAACACAUAUAGUAUUAGUAUAAUGCAGUUUUCACGCCAAGCGCCAAAAUGAAUAUAACUUAUAUUACACAGAU